rnacentral:rRNA from 1 species
UGGGGAAUAUUGGACAAUGGAGGGAACUCUGAUCCAGCAAUUCUGUGUGUGUGAAGAAGGUUUUAGGACUGUAAAACACUUUUAGUAGGGAAGAAAAAAAUGACGGUACCUACAGAAGAAGCAACGGCUAAAUACGUGCCAGCAGCCGCGGUAAUACGUAUGUUGCGAGCGUUAUCCGGAAUUAUUGGGCUUAAAGGGCAUCUAGGCGGUAAGACAAGUUGAAGGUGAAAACCUGUGGCUCAACCAUAGGCUUGCCUACAAAACUGUUGAACUAGAGUACUGGAAAGGUGGGUGGAACUACACGAGUAGAGGUGAAAUUCGUAGAUAUGUGUAGGAAUGCCGAUGAUGAAGAUAACUCACUGGACAGAAACAGACGCUGAAGUGCGAAAGCUAGGGGAGCAAACAGG